GACCUGGUAGCUCAGCUGGUAGAGCAUCUCCCUUUUAAGGAGAGGGUCCUGGGUUCGAGCCCCAGCCAGGUCACUA
rnacentral:tRNA from 2 species